ACGGAAGGCAGCAGUGAGGAAUAUUGGUCAAUGGGCGAGAGCCUGAACCAGCCAUGUCGCGUGGAGGAAUAAGGAUCUAUGGUUCGUAAACUUCUUUUAUGCGGGAAUAAAAAGGAUUACGUGUAGUCUGUUGCAUGUACCGCAUGAAUAAGGAUCGGCUAAUUCCGUGCCAGCAGCCGCGGUAAUACGGAAGAUCCGAGCGUUAUCCGGAUUUAUUGGGUUUAAAGGGAGCGUAGGCGGGCCUUUAAGUCAGUGGUCAAAGCGUGUGGCUCAACCAUACCACGCCGUUGAUACUGGAGGCCUUGAGUGCACAUAAGGAUGGUGGAAUUCAUGGUGUAGCGGUGAAAUGCUUAGAUAUCAUGAAGAACUCCGAUUGCGAAGGCAGCUGUCCGGGGUGUAACUGACGCUAAUGCUCGAAAGUGCGGGUAUCAAACAGGAUUAGAUACCCUGGUA
rnacentral:rRNA from 1 species